UACAAGGGACAUGUGGGAUUCAGGACCGAGAGCUUGAAGUUUGCUAUCAGCUACACACUGUGGAAACACAGAUGGUGUUGCCAACUCGCACAAUAUUUGGAGUCUUUUCUGAAGCCCCGGAUGCUGUGGAUACGUGCAUGGCCAGGCACACCAACUCCAUCUGGAUCUAACAAUUCUGUGACUGGGGGAUGCGGACCAUUUCCUACUGAGCGUUUCCAUCAGAGACCCCCUGUCAGAGGGGAGAGCCUAGUCCACUGGAGCUUAGGGCUUUUCUGGAGAAGAGUGCCCUCCCUGUUUGCUCUUCACUUUGCCUGUUCUAAACCCUGACAGCUGAUCUUCAUCUGUAGGUGGGCUGUGAGCCACUAGCAGAUGGCAGCGCCGGUUAUGCAGGAUUCAAAGCACAUGCAAAAUCACUCAGCUGCUGGGGAGGAACCUGGAGCUGUGGCUACAGCAGCUUGUUGGCUGCAAAUCAGAUCGGAAGGAAACAGGUUAUUUGCUAUAGCUUGUCUGGAACAGAAACUAAAUUAGCAGGGCUGCCGCUGCUGUGAGAUGACCAGAGUAUGGCCAGAAGCAGGCAGCAUGCCCGGCCCAAACCUCUCCCUCCAGGUUAAGACCAAGGAACCCAAGGGUCCUAUCCAAAAGAGACGGAGUCCUCAUGCCCCCUUCCCUGCCUUGCAUCCUUCAGACGUUCAAGGCUGAGAAGUACAGUAAGAACAAGAGGCACUGCCAUCUGUGGCUUCUUGCAGAGAAGAGUCAAGACUGGCAAUGCCUGGAGCAGCAUGGAGAUUAAAGCUACGUUAAAUGCAAAUAUUCCUUUGAGUUAUUCCUGGGAGCUGCCUAAUGAUCUGUGGGGAAAUUGUUUAAUCAAGGCCUUUAUGAUAAAUGGUGCAGAAAAGCUUCUACUAUUGCCAAUACAGGGCUUGAGAAGAGAUGGGGGGGCAUAACCUGCCUGGGGUAUAAGUCUCUGGGGGCUUAGCUCAAGCUGUGGUUGGGAUACAAAUGGAACAAGUUUGCCGGGUCUCAGCCUAGUCUCUAAUGUACAUUUGUCCACACUCCAAAUCCACUAUGAAAUUUAAUGUAACUGGCAUUUAUCCAGAAGAAGCCCAUGACUGGUAUAGCAGAAGGUGUUGCAGGACAGGAUUGAGGUGCCUCAGAAAAGCUUCACAUGGUGACCCAGAACUGGAGCAGCAGGGUGUACAAUGGAUCAGGGUUGAGGGCUAUGUAGGAAGGGCCCAGCUGGAACAGCAAGCAGGUGUUUGAGUAGAGCUGAGUGUGGGAAGCCUAGGGCUGGAAUGGUUGAGCCCCAGGUGCAGGUCAGGAUUGAGGUGAAUUGGCAGAGCUGUUCAUGGAAAGCUUAUGCUGAGCCUGUCUGCAUUGUACCUGGCUCCUGCUCCCCCAUUAGUGUCUCACUCUCACAAAAUUAAAUUUAAAAGAAUG